UCUGGUGACUAUAGCAAGGAGGUCACACCUGUUCCCAUGCCGAACACAGAAGUUAAGCUCCUUAGCGCCGAUGGUAGUCGAACUUACGUUCCGCUAGAGUAGAACGUUGCCAGGC
rnacentral:rRNA from 1 species